UUAAAUUAAAACUAAAACUAAUUCUCUCGGCUCACUACUCUCGCUCUAUCUCGCAUCUCUCUCUCACUCUCUAUCUCCCAUCUCUCAAAUUUCAGAUCUCUCAUUCAUCUCUCCCAUCUCAUUCUUUCAUUCCUUUCAUCUCUCUCAUCUCACUCUUUCAUCUCUCAAAACUUGUCUCGGAGCUUAUCUUGCUGCUUAUACAAGGAAAGGGUCCGACGAUUUUAUAGCAGAAGCUUGUCUCGGAGUUUUAGUUCUUGUCUCAAGGCUCAGUAGCUUUCUCCGCAUAGCCUGAAUUUGGUCUGACUAUAACAUUAUGAGCUAAUAUAUCUACACUAACAAAAGCAAAGGAGAAGGAGAUGGAUUAAUCUUGGAAAAAUAUAAGAUCAAGUGAUUAACUCUCUAUAUCAGCAGCCUCGCCAUCAAGAGAAACAAAGGUCGGUGAAGCAGAGGUAGCGCAGAGCAAGCAAGAUUGUAAUGUAUCCAGUUUGACAGAUGCCACACCUGAUAAUACUGCUGAAGAUGUUUUUGACCAGCCCUCUAGUACCCCUCGAUAUACCUAUCACAGUGAAGAUGAAACCCGAGAAUUAUCAAGUAUAAAUUUUCAAUAUAAUGCUCCUCCAUCAACACCUCAGUGGGGAAGGGAGAUCCAAGAACUUGCAGCCACCAAAAUCCAGUUAGCCUUUUGGGGUUGUCUUGAAAGAAAAGCUUUAUGGGCAUUGAAGGGAAUUGUUAGGCUUCAAGCUAUUAUCAGAUGUGUACUUGUUCGGCGCCAGGCUAUCACCACGCUGAAUCAGUUGCAAUCAGUUGUAAAUAUUGAUUCACAGGAACGUGCAAAACGUGGCCAAAUUAAUGGCAGAUAGCAAUUCUUAUUCUCAAGGAAAUAAAGAGCCAGUAGAAUUUAAAGGCAAGGACAUUAAGGUCGGCAAAACUAGAGCAGAACAAAAUAGAUGGAAGAUGGAGAUACUGGCUAGAACAACGGGUGGAUUCUAGGUUAGCUAAAACGGAGGAUCUACAAAACCUUGUAUCAGUUUUCUCAAUGAGGAAUAAAAAUGAAGACAAUGAACCUGGGGUAAAACAAAUGAGGUCAAGAAAUGUUCAUAAGCAAUCUCACAAUGCAGAACAUGAAAUGCCAACAAGAAGAUCAAUACAUCAUCGAUCAGAAGCAACAUUCAACAGGAGAUGCAUGGAUAUUCUACUAGAGGGGGAUCUCCUGUUGUCACUGAUUAACUUUUAUUUAGGUUGUAAUUGCUUAACUUUUAUUUAGGUUGCAUAUUAAUUAUGAUAAAUUUGUAUUUUGGAGAAGUUGGAGCAUCUAAUUGUGUUUUGAAGAAACUGAUAUAGUUUGGAGUUGUGGAAUUAAUUGUUAGUUUUUGAGAA